rnacentral:rRNA from 1 species
UGUUUGGAGAGUUUGAUCCUGGCUCAGGACAAACGCUGGCGGCGUGCUUAAUACAUGCAAGUCGAACGGUUCCACUUCGGUGGAAUAGUGGCGGACGGGUGAGUAACACGUAGGUAACCUGC